rnacentral:piRNA from 1 species
UGUGUCUAGGACAUGUUAAACUGCCAAGAU